UGCAAGGACAGCGUCUAUUCGUACAGGGUGUGACUAAAGACCAAGGUCCCGUGUUCAUGUUGACAUGCACGUAAAAUAGUCCUUGGCAGAUAGAAUUCAGAAUCGACUGUCCGGGAAUGUUCACACACAUUUCGAUAGUUAUGAUAUAAAAUGUGGAUGAUUUUAACAUUUAAUAUUAUUUCAGGCGAGGUGACCGUAGAACUAGUAUCUACAUCAGAUACGGCCACUGAUAGAACCAAGCGAUCACCAGCUCUACCUGGAACUCUUUCAUUUGAGUUUCAGUACGGUGGUGAUCAGGUUUUGCUUAACCUGGAGAAGAAUACUAAUGUUGGUAUCAAUACUCCUGUAUUCCUACACAGACAGGGUGAAGCAGUCCCUCUAGGUUCAACCAAUCAUAAGACAAAAGAUGUAGCUUUUUACCAGGAUGUAACCAAGGGAGCGUCUAUUAUGGUCAGAAGACAGGAACAGAUGACAGAUAUGUAUGAACUGAUGGGAACAUAUUACCUUGAAGAUAACCAGUACAGUAUAGAACCAAUCGAACCAAAUAAAGAAACUCAACCAAGCUUUUCUAUGACCUUUAAUCAUACCAUUAGUAUCCUGAAUGAGCAUCUUAAUUUGAAAGAUGAUA